rnacentral:rRNA from 1 species
AACGAACGCUGGCGGCAUGCCUAACACAUGCAAGUCGAACGAGACCUUCGUGUCUAGUGGCGAACGGGUGCGUAACGCGUGGGAACCUGCCAUUAGGUUCGGAAUAACUCCCCGAAAGGGGUGCUAAUACCGGGUAAUGUCUUCGGAUCAAAGAUUUAUCGCCUUUGGAUGGGCCCGCGUUGGAUUAGCUAGUUGGUAGGGUAAAAGCCUACCAAGGCGACGAUCCAUAGCUGGUCUGAGAGGAUGAUCAGCCACACUGGGACUGAGACACGGCCCAGACUCCUACGGAAGGGAGCAGUGGGGUAUAUUGGACAAUGGGCGAAGGCCUGAUCCAGCAAUGCCGGGUGAGUGAUGAAGGCGUUAGGGUUGUAAAGCUCUUUUAGCCGGGAUGAUAAUGACGGUACCGGGAGAAUAAGCUCCGGCUAACUCCGUG